CAUGGGGUACGAUCCAAUGGUUGGUGUCAUGAAAGGAGAUCGGUUAUCUUUUCACAUGAAAGAUACAAUCGGAACCCUAACAACAAAUGGCUGGCAAUCAUUGGAAUGUAUACAAUUUAUCUGCCAACUCCCCCAACAAAUGAUGCCCGUGUAAUUUUCUCAAAAACAGACUUCCUUGGCUUGGCUCCACUAGAAAAUCGGUGAAGCUUAAACAAAUUUAAAAGCU
rnacentral:lncRNA from 1 species